AGCUUUGCACAGUGGCAGUAUUGUAGCCAAUGAGGUUUAUCCAAGGCAUAAUUAUUGCUAAUUGAAAUCCAAAAAAAGCUG
rnacentral:snRNA from 13 species